rnacentral:rRNA from 1 species
UAUCCUGUCUGAAUAUGGGGGGACCAUCCUCCAAGGCUAAAUACUCCUGACUGACCGAUAGUGAACCAGUACCGUGAGGGAAAGGCGAAAAGAACCCCGGCGAGGGGAGUGAAAAAGAACCUGAAACCGUGUACGUACAAGCAGUGGGAGCACCCUUUGGGGUGUGACUGCGUACCUUUUGUAUAAUGGGUCAGCGACUUAUAUUCUGUAGCAAGGUUAACCGAAUAGGGGAGCCGGAGGGAAACCGAGUCUUAACCGGGCGUUAAGUUGCAGGGUAUAGACCCGAAACCCGGUGAUCUAGCCAUGGGCAGGUUGAAGGUUGGGUAACACUAACUGGAGGACCGAACCGACUAAUGUUGAAAAAUUAGCGGAUGACCUGUGGCUGGGGGUGAAAGGCCAAUCAAACCGGGAGAUAGCUGGUUCUCCCCGAAAGCUAUUUAGGUAGCGCCUCGUGAAUUCAUCUCCGGGGGUAGAGCACUGUUUCGGCUAGGGGGCCAUCCCGGCUUACCAACCCGAUGCAAACUGCGAAUACCGGAGAAUGUUAUCACGGGAGACACACGGCGGGUGCUAACGUCCGUCGUGAAGAGGGAAACAACCCAGACCGCCAGCUAAGGUCCCAAAGUCAUGGUUAAGUGGGAAACGAUGUGGGAAGGCCCAGACAGCCAGGAUGUUGGCUUAGAAGCAGCCAUCAUUUAAAGAAAGCGUAAUAGCUCACUGGUCGAGUCGGCCUGCGCGGAAGAUGUAACGGGGCUAAACCAUGCACCGAAGCUGCGGCAGCGA